rnacentral:lncRNA from 1 species
UUUUUUUUUGUUUUUUCUCAAACCCCAGCAGCAGUCAAACUCCAAACUUUCAUCGGUAUUUCCCAAAUUUUAAAGGAUGUGCCUUGAAUUCAAGACCCUGCGGAACAAAGUACAAAAACCCCCAAAUGUUAAUUUCGACUUCAGUUUUCCUUGGAGAGGAGAAGCCAAUCACUUGUCAAUUUCGAAAAAAUCAUCACAAUAGGCGAAUUUCGAAAGAUCAGAAUUAAAAAAUGAAUGCGAAAUCAGUGUAAGCUUCAAUUAAGAAGUUGUGGCUGUAUAUUUAGAUAUUAAUAAUCCGCAGCUUUGGAAAAAAUAGAACAGAUCAUGGAAGAGAGAGAAACCUUGUAAGAGAAGCCGGUUGAUCACUGAUACAUUGAGUUGUACAGAAAGAAACAUUCGUCAUUGGAUUAUGCCUAAUCAGUCACUUCUUUUCCAAUUUUUGCGCAAUGCUCCCUCGUAUUUGAAAUAUAUUCCAGUAUGCUCCUAGG